rnacentral:lncRNA from 1 species
CAACCUCUGCCUCCCGGGUUCAAGCGAUUCUCCUGCCUCAGCCUCCCAAAUAGCUGGGAUUACAGGCAUGUGCCACCACGUCCGGCUAAUUUUGUAUUUUUUAAUAGAGGCAGGGUUUCACCAUGUUGGUUGGGCUGGUCUCGAACUCCUUACCUCAGGUGAUCCACCUGCCUUGGCCUCCCAAAGUGUUGGGAUUACAGCCAUGAGCCACUGCGCCCAGUCCCUCACAUUGUCUUAUUUAAGUCUCCUGAUAGUCCCGUGAAGUAGCUUAGGGAUUGCCCUCAUUUUUCAUAUGAGUAUACUGAGUAAGCAUUAGAGAGCUGGGGUCUGCAGGACUCUAAGCCCUCCAUAAUAUUAGCCCCUACACUCUGUACAGAAGGUGGUACAUAAAGGCAUUUUAAAAAAUGUCCAGCCCAACUGAGUGUCACUUUCUGUGGUAACUGACAUGUCCAGUCUGUCUGUAUUUCAGUCUCUCAGCCCGUACACCUGUCUGCCACCUCUUGGGGGGGCACCCCAACCUCUCAACCCCCACAAGUCACACCCUGAUACUGCGGCUGACCUGCUGUCCGCCCUGAGCCAGGAGGAGCAAGACCUCAUUGGGCCAGUGGUCGCCCUGGGAUAUCCCCUGCGAAGGGCCAUCAUAGCUCUGCAGAAGACAGGGAGGCAGAGCCUGAGUCAGAGUUCACUCUAUUGGAAGUAUGGCGGAGACUCAUGAUGACACUCCAAGGACAGCACUCUGAGCCACGCUACUAUUUGGAAGCAGGUCUUGACCCCUGAUACAAGCCAAGAAUGUAAGAGCACCUACAGAGGAGUGAGGGCCCCCAAAGUGCCUAAAAAGAGGUGCUAGUGGCAAGAUACCUGGGAGAAGAAGUGGUAUGAGUGUUAUAGGGGUGUUUCUGUCAUCUCUUUCUGUGUAACAAACUACCCCGAAACUUAGUGGCAUGAGACAACCAUUUAUUUGCUUAUGAUUCUCUGGAUUGGCAGUUUUAAGGUGGACUCAGCUAGGGGGUUCUUCUGCUCAUCUCACCUGCAGUCUCAUGUGGCUACAGUUUGGUGACUUACUUGGGGCUGAAUGAUCUCAGAUGGCCUCAUUCACUGUACAGUGGGUGGUGAUACUUGUCAGCUGGGCCACAUAUCUCCAGCAAGCCACCCUACUUGGUUCCAAGAGUAAGGCCUCUUGAGGCCUCUUGAGGCCUUGGCUGAAAUUGUACAUAGUCACUUCCACCUCAUUCUAUUGGUCAAAGCAUGUUGUUGACCCCUCCAGGCUUACACAGGGGAAAAACAGAUUCCACCUCUUGGUGGGAGAGGGUGCAAAAAAUUUUAUGAUCAUUCUCAGUCUACCAUAAGAAGGUUCCAGUGAUCAAGAAAGGCUUCAUGGAGAUACCAAGCAUUGAGCGGGACUUCAAGGAUGGAUAAGAUCUGAUGCUGAAGGAAGGAGAAGGGGUGAUAUUCCAGGAGGGAAGGACAGUGUGACUAAAGGAGUGGAGGUGGGAAGGAAGUGUUUGGGAGGCCCUGAUCUGACCAGUCUUGUUGAGGAGAGGGUGCAUGAGGCAGGCUGGUAGGAGAUGAGAAAAAGAGAAUUGGGGGUAGAUUUAGGGGUCUUGAAGGCUGGCCUGAGAAUUUGAUAAAUGACCCAAUAGGCAAAAGGAGGCACGGAAGGAUUGUAAGUAGGGUCAGGAGGUAACAUUGAAUGCCAUUGCUUACACCCCCAUGUCCCCACCUGAAAGUAACAUCCUUCGUUGUGUGGUUUUCUAAACAUCGGGACUCUUCAUGGUUUGAUGGCUGGUCCCAGGGUAGUUGGUACUUUUCAUUUUUCUCCUGUUCCUGCCCCACCACCAUCAGAAGGCUUGGACACCUCCAUCAUCACUGAUGAGUACUGAAUGUUGGGUCCCUGCGGUCCAGAGCUGCCUGCUUCUGCCAGAGGGAAUGGCAGAAGGGAAGUGACUUUCAAACAGGAGCCGGGGUGGGGCUGGGCAAAUGCACCUGGUCCCCUUGCCCACCCACUCCUGCUUCUACUCUACUCUGGGUUCAUCAGUUCAUGCCCUGUCCUGGAGAAGAAUUUCCAACAUAGUGACCCCCAUGUGGCUAAAAUGGCAGGGAGGGGUGCUAACAUUUAUUGAACAUUUUCUUGCAUGAAUCUCUCUCUCUGAGGGUAUUCAGUUAGGUCUCAAUUCUGCAAGGUUGCUAUUACAUUAUGACCACUUUGCAGAUGAGGAAACUGAGGCCAGGGAAGUUCAUACAGCCAGUCAAUGGCAGCACUGGGGUUGAGGCCAGCUGGUCUGACUCUGCAUCUUGGUUGCACGAUGUCUUUUAUCUCAUUUUCUGUGUGAGAACCUCCCAGGACAGCACCACAGGCUGAUCUGAGAUUUAAGAGCAGAUCUAAAGUCACGCCUACCUUCGGAUAAUACUGAAAAGCCAGAGUCCUGGCCAAAAAGCUGGUCAGGAGGGCUGUGAGGGGCCAGGUGCACAGUGGGGCUCUGACAUGCCUCCCCAGUGCCUUCAGGCCCUGUGGUAAGGCUGAGGUCUCAGGCCAUCACUCUGGGGGUCUGAAGAUGAGUCAGAGCCAGCCUGGGGCCCUGGCCUCCCAGUGGGUGAGCUGGAAGGAUUUCACUGCAUUGGGAACAUUGUGUUUCCAGAUAUAGACUGGCCACCUGCCUGGCCCCCUGGAUCUCUGGGUGGCCUUCCCUGGUGGGCAGUCAGGAGCCAGGCCCCACGGGGUGGGUCUGAGGGGCCUUUGGAUGACUUCAUCUAUCCUCCCCCACCAAGUUAGUAUUUCUGUCUGUUCUGUGAAGUCCUGGUAACUGAACAAGCCCUUUGGGUUCAGAUUCCUUCUCCCACUGAAAGCCGCAUAUUGCAGUAAAUCCUUUUUGGCCAAGAUAAAUGACAGAUGGCCCAGGAGGAAGGGCAUCAGGUGAUAGAGACAGAACAGCUAGAAGAGUCAGGGAGAGAAGAAGAUACAAAAGAAAUUGUGCAGCACUCCUUUCCUUCCACAAGGCUUGAUGUGCCCACACUGCCUCCCUGCAGGACAGGCAUGGGUGCCAUGUGUGAGGGUCCACAGGCCAGGCCCCCUCUUUUAGCCUCAGUUUCCCAGUUCACAGGGUGGAGGAGGAAUACGUGUUUGGAACCAGUGACUUCCGGGGGCCCCCUCCGGUGGCCUUAAGGUGACAUCCUCACCCACCUGGGGGCCUGAGGCAAGCCUGAUAGCUUCUACAGUCCUGCAGGCCCAAAAGCUAACCAAGCAGCAGAACCUUUGCAAAUGCAGACUCUCAGGGCUUAUCCUGCAGGGCCCCAGUCAGUGGAUCUGGGGUGGACCCAGGGGCCUUUAAUUUUAGAAAAUUUGCAGAUGGGUCUGAUAUUCACUGUGGCAUAGUAUAGAUCAAGGUCAGCUGUCCCCAUUCACUGAUUCUUAGUCUUGGGUGCACAUUAGAAUCACCUGGAGGGCUAUAGGGAAAAAAUUCCAAUGCUCAGGCUACACCCCAGACCAAUUAUAUCGUAACCUCUGAAGGUGAGGCCCAGACAGCAGUAAUGUUUAAAGUUCCUCAGGUGGUUGCAAUAAGCACUGAGACUGAGAACCAUUGCUAUGGACGAGCCAAAAGGUGGAGGCAGCGUCCACCAUCCAUCCUUGCCCGCCCUCCUUCUGAAGGUGAAGCUUUCACCUUUGGAAACCCUGUCAUCCACCAAGACAGCUCAAAGCCCGUCCUCUAGCAGCUGAUCCCUCUGAUGGACAAGGCAUUAAAUGACAGGUUACAUAAUCGGGGACCUAGUCCUGGGACCCUGGACAAGGCAUCUGCCUUGCCUGAACCUCAGUUUCCUCAACUGUGGAAGGAGGGCAUGGGUGCCUGGUUUUCAAAACGUGCUCAGAGCAGGUCUAGCUGUACUGGGCAGUACCUCGGCCAGGAGCACUGGACUCCGGGCCCCCAUGCCCCUGGCCCUAGUUCUCCCAGAGCAGCUCUAAUCUUAGCCUGUUAUUGCUGAAGCCUCCUUGUGCUAAGACAAACACUUCAGGAGCCAAAAACAAUUUGACAACUGUUAGUCUAGAUGAUGUGCACUUUCAUCCCAGCUCUGAAGGUCUACGGAAACCCCACUCUCCCUUCUCCACAUAUACUCAUAAUUCCUGUAGUCUGGAGCCUUCAUUUGGCACCUACACCCCAUAAAUCCUGCUUUGAUUUGCCUGGCACUGAUGUGGUCCUGUAUCUGGUUUAUCUCCCCCACUAAGCUGUGAGUUCCUUGAAGGCAGGUCUUCAUUCAUUUUAUAAACACAGCACACAUUUAUUGAGCUCCUUCUGCCACCAUGCUGGAUGAUGGGGACACUGUGGUGAAUGAGACUGACACAGCCCCUCCCUCAUGGAGCAAAAACUUCGUGGAUGAGAAAGAUUGAGUGAAGCAAUUACAAAGUUAUAUGUGCUGUAACAGGGAAGCAUAGGGUGCUAUGGGGGCACAAGGGACGGGACCCAGGAAGAUAGAGGGGGCAGGAAGCUUCCCAGGGACAGGGAAGGAGGCCAGCCUUGGCUGAGGGAGCUGCAUCUGCAGAGACCUGGAGGGUGAGGGAGGGGCCAAGGCCAUAGACAGGGAGCAGGACUUUGAGCCCUGCCUGGUAAGGAGCCAGCAUUUUAUCCUGGGCCCCUGAUGACGUAACCGUGGGGUGACCUGAACAGUUUUUCCUGCCUGUGGAAUCCUCCUCUUUGCCUACCCCACACCCCUUCUCCAGCACUGGUGCAGGAGUUGCAUAGUAGUGGCUCAGGAGUCCUGGAUGAGAGAGAUGCAUCUGGGGGUACAGUAGGGGUGCACAGGUGUGGACGGAUGAGGAGGCACCUUCACACGAAUGGGUGCUCCCAGACAGGGGUGGGUGGUGCAUGAAUGUUGAAUUGGGUUGGGUGGUAGGUGGGAUGUCUGUGUUUGAAGCCUGUCCUGCUCCCCACCUAGGUUCUAUGAACACCCUAGCCCACCCUGACAGCCCUUUUCCUGGAGUCCAGCCCCCA